ensembl:snoRNA SNORD97 small nucleolar RNA SNORD97
AUGCCCUGUGAUUAUAAAAAGACGCGUUAUUCUGAGGAGCAUACCUGCUCUCUGUCUCUACUACUCUCCCAUCUUCUUCUUCAUUUAUUCUUUCUUCACUUUUCCUCUUUUUUUCUUUUACAUCCCUAUCCUUCUGCCUCUUGCAGCAGGUCCACUGACUGCAAUUUUGAGAUAUGAGGGCUU